UGACUAAACCUGUUCACCACCUCCUGUGAAGACGUCCUGUUCUCACACAUUGAGUUUUUUCAAUGUAGUGAACAAGGAGCCUAUAUGACAACCUGGAGGAUUAUUAUGAUGCUUAUUUACGCCGCUGCAGUCAGCAGCAAAGCUGGGGUGGAUUCAGGCCCCUGAGGCUCCUAUGAGGCUGAGCAAUGGAUGCUGAAAGCAGAGAUUCUUCCCGUGAACCUCGGAGAGAAUGUUUGCAUGCCAUGUCAUGGACCUGCAAAAGCACAAAUCGUGUUGGUGGAGUGGACCAGACCAGACCUGGAGUCACCUGAGUAUGUAUUUUUCUUCCGGGAUGAGCGAUCCUACACGUCCUACCAGCACUGGUCCUUUGUGGGUCGGGUGGAGCUGAAGGAUAAAGAGAUGAAGAAUGGAGACGUGUCCCUAAUUCUGAGCAGCGUGAGAAUCAGUGACGUCGGUGUGUAUGAGUGUCGGAUCUCACAAGGAAAGACAAGGUCAAAGAGAGCCAACAUCAAGAUGGAGCCGAUCCAAGUCAUCAGCCUGAAGGUGGAGGAGGAAGGCGCUAAAACCAACGUCUGGCACAUCGGAGCUGCGGCGAGUCUCAUCCUGUCUGCUGUGGUCGUGAUACUUGUUGCUGUGAUCUUCAAAAAACCUUAAAGAAGAACUGAGACGAGGGCUUCCAGCAAACAUCACUAUUCUCCUCAUUCGUAGUGUGAAAGUUACAACAACAGUGAACUCUGGUGGUUGACAAUAAUAAAUGACUGCUUUAAAUUGAUGUUAAACCUGUU
rnacentral:lncRNA from 1 species